rnacentral:rRNA from 1 species
GAUGAACGCUAGCGGCAGGCCUAAUACAUGCAAGUCGGACGGGAUUUGGGAGCUUGCUCCUAAUGAGAGUGGCGCACGGGUGCGUAACACGUAUGUAACCUACCUUAAUCAGGGGGAUAGCCUCUCGAAAGAGAGAUUAACACCGCAUAAUAUAUUUUAUGGCAUCGUAGAAAUAUCAAAUAUUUAAAGGAUUAAGAUGGGCAUGCGGAACAUUAGCUAGUUGGUAAGGUAACGGCUUACCAAGGCUACGAUGUUUAGGGGAUCUGAGAGGAUGACCCCCCACACUGGUACUGAGACACGGACCAGACUCCUACGGGAGGCAGCAGUAAGGAAUAUUGGUCAAUGGGCGCAAGCCUGAACCAGCCAUGCCGCGUGCAGGAAGACGGCCCUAUGGGUUGUAAACUGCUUUUGUACCGGAAUAAACCCUUUUACGUGUAGAAGGCUGAAUGUACGGUAAGAAUAAGGAUCGGCUAACUCCGUGCCAGCAGCCGCGGUAA